ensembl:lncRNA
GAAACAGGGCUAGGAGGGCCUCGGGAGCACACUCAGUCUUUAGGCUCAACCUUGCCCUGUGUCCACCUGAGGGAAACUGCCUGGAGAGAGGAGCUCUCUGAUGCCCGGCUGACAAGGCCUGUGGGCCUAUCGGCUAUGCCUCACCUUGUUGCUCUCGCCCCAUCCGCAGGGAGCCCUGUUGAGCAGGCUGGAGUUCAGGAGGCCCGAGAAGAAAGAUCCUACACGCCGUGGGCAACUAAGUCCUUGGCCACAAUUACUGAACCUGAUUGCACCAACUACUGAAGCCCCCGUGCCUAGAGCCCACAUGCUACAACUAAUGGAGCCUGACCACCUAGAGCUUGUGCUCCAUAAGAAAAGAAGCCACCACAGCGAGAAGCCCCUGCUCUGCACCUGGAGAGUAGCCCCUGCUCACUGCAACCAGAGAAAGCCCGCGUGCAGCAGUGAAGACUGAGCAUAGCCAAAG